AACGAACGCUGGCGGCAUGCCUAACACAUGCAAGUCGAACGAUCCCUCCGGGGAUAGUGGCGCACGGGUGCUUAAGGCGAGGGAACCUGCCCCUCAGCUCGGAAUAACUCAGGGAAAUUUGUGCUAAUACCGGAUAAUGUCUUCUGACCAAAGAUUUAUCGCCUUGGGGUUGGCUCGCGUUUGAUUAGCUUGUUGGUGGGGUAAACGCCUACCAAGGCGAGGAUCCAUAGCUGGUCUGAGAGGAUGACCAGCCACACUGGGACUGAGACACGGCCCAGACUCGUACGGGAGGAAGCAGUGAGGAAUAUUGGACAAUGGGCGGAAUGCUGAUCCAGCAAUGCGGCGAGAGUGAUGAAGGCCUGAGGGUAGUAAAGCUCUUUUACCCGGGAUGAUAAUGACAGUACCGGGAGAAUAAGCCCCGGCUAACUCCGUG
rnacentral:rRNA from 1 species